UACGUAGGGAGCAAGCGUUGUCCGGAAUCAUUGGGCGUAAAGCGCGCGUAGGUGGCCCUGUAAGUCCGUUGUGAAAGUCAAAGGCUCAACCUUUGAAAGCCGAUGGAUACUGCAGGGCUAGAGUACGGAAGAGGCGAGUGGAAUUCCUGGUGUAGCGGUGGAAUGCGCAGAUAUCAGGAGGAACACCAAUAGCGAAGGCAGCUCGCUGGGACGGUACUGACGCUAAGGCGCGAAAGCGUGGGGAGCGAACAGG
rnacentral:rRNA from 1 species